CACAGUCCCACGGGGUGACAUCAUAGAAUGACAGGGAGCUGUGACCCAAGCUGCUGUGUUGCAUCAUCGCUGUACAACAAGCUGAGCCCUGCAACAAACAGCAAGAAAUACCCCUGGCGCAGGAAAAAAGCUCUCUGCACCCACAAGCAACGGCAGACCUUGUAUUCAGCUCAGGCACCAGCAGCACUAAGAGAUACCUGAGAGGGCACCAUGGGCAUUAGCAUGCAAAUCAGCUCAGCGAACUCUGGAUUCCUGCCACAUAACGCACCUGUGAAACUCAGCAGAAAACAAGGAGGGAGGACAGCCGACACUUGGAAAUGAACUGAGGACCCCUAGAACUGAAUAUAUUAGCUGAAGAUGUUAGAGACUUGAGAACCAGGCACUCCGGGAUGCAACAGAUUCACAUCUGUGAAACAGGAACAGUGGGGAGACGUCUAACAUGCUGACCAGCGGGUUACACAUCUAUUCCUGUGAAAAAGCUCCUGAUGGCUGCUGGAUGCUGCUAUUGCUCAUUGGAAGAGCCAGCUGGGGCAAACCCUUCAGGAAGCACAGGUGCAGCAAGUUCACAAACGGGUCUCAAAAGUUAGCCCAAGGCACAAAAACCUGGAUUGAAAUAAGCAGCCAACACCUCUGGAAAAGGGAGGCUUAGCUAUAAGGGACCUCUGGUUCAUUCUUGAUGCUGUUUAUAGUUAUUUAUAGUAACACCUUUGCUGUGUGUUUUUCUUUGGGAUAUUUUUCGGUCCUGUCUUUCACCGACGUAGUGAGGAAUCAUAAGUUCUAUUUCUUGCACCUUGUUGGGAGGGGAGCACUUUUUUUCUUUAUAAGCCAGCCCAGCUGCUUGGUCUCUGUGCCAGGUCAAAGGCAAAAUGUUUGCACGUGGGACAGUUGUUACAUUGAGGACUGAAUUGGGAAUCUGUAGAGCUAAAAGCAUGAGUUGUUGUGGGAGUCUUCCACUGACCUGCUGUAAGACCUGGGGCACCCUUUGUCUGUCCUGUCUACUUAGAUUGUAAGUCUUUGGAGGCCAGGACUCACCAUGUGUCUAUGCAGCACCCAGCACAAUGGGACCAUGCUCUCAGCACGCACUACUGUAAGACAAAUAAUACUCUCCUGCUCUACUGCCCCCAGAUCCCUAUAGAAAACAGCCCCCUUCCUGGUCCAAACACUUGACUAGAGCUCAUAUUCAUUCUCUGCUUCUCUCCACAGUAUCCCCUGGGCUGGACAAAGAUCGGGGGGCGGGGGAGACUCUCUCUCAGCAGCCCGUGAGUCAGAAAGUCCAUUAGAGUCCCCGUGUCAGAAAUCCAUACUUGAUUAUAUCACAACAAGUGAAACUGAGAAAAAUGACAGCCUCAUUUAAAGCUGCCAUAUUUGGUUAUGUGUGAUAGCAAAGACACACAGCACGAUGGUUGGAUGGGGGCGGGGGGAGAAAGGAUUUGGAACUGAAGUUAAACAGAAAAUAAAAUACAAUGUCAUUAAGCUGUUGGUGGGGGGAACUGAGACGUGGAGACAACUCCUUGGCAUUUAUUUGUAGUUAUUUGUUAGGAAUCAUCUGAUCAGAGCCGUGGAUUAACAUACGUCAGCUGCAGUUCUCCAUGUGCGAGGAAUGGGAAGGGAGAAGAGCAGAUGGGGAUCUGGAGUUGCCUUCGUCUGCUCUGCAAACUGAAUCCUUGAAGGAAAACUACAACGAUUAGCUAUCAUGCC